GUACAUCUGCAGGCCUGUGCAGCCACCAGCAUGAUCUGGCUUUAGAACGUUCCACUACCCCAGAAAGGUCUCUCAUGCCCCUGAGCAAUCAAUUUCCAAUCCCUUCCCCAGACCCUGACACAGGUAUCCACUUGCUAUCUCUAGAGACUUCUCUAUUCUGAACAUUUCACAACUGCCUUGGCACCUUUUCAAAAUCAAGUAACCAUAAAUGUCAGCGUUUAUUACUGGACUCCAACUUUAGUCCAUUGAUCUUUGUGCCCAUCUUUAUGCCAGGAUGACACUGUCCUGAUUGAUGUCACUCCAGGAAGCUUUGAAGAGAGAAAUAGACCCAAACUCUGCCAAGGUUCCACACUGGCUGUGACUGGAGCAGAUGUCUCCACCUUCUGGAUAUGAGUGUCCUCAUCUGUAAGAUUUUCCUUGUGCUAAAUCAUGGAAAUCUUUCAAGAAAAUCCGGGCUUUAAACACCUUCAAUAGAACAAAAGGCAUCCUGAACAUUU